rnacentral:tRNA from 1 species
GCAGGGGUAGCCAAGCCUGGUCAACGGCGCAGGCUUCAGGAGCCUGUCCCGGAGGGGUUCAGGAGUUUUCAGGAGUUCGAAUCUCCUCCCCUGCA